ACCACUCAGUGGUAGAGCACAUGCCUAGCUUGCAUGAGGUCCUUUGUUCAAUCCCUAGUACUGGGG
rnacentral:tRNA from 1 species